AACGCUAGCGGCAGGCCUAACACAUGCAAGUCGAGGGGUAGAGUUCUUCGGGACUUGAGACCGGCGCACGGGUGCGUAACGCGUAUACAAUCUACCUUUUACAGAGGGAUAGCCCAGAGUAAAUUUGGAUUAAUACCUCAUAGUAUUUUUGAAUCGCAUGAUUUGAUUAUUAAAGUUCCAACGGUAAAAAGAUGAGUAUGCGUCCCAUUAGCUAGAUGGUAAGGUAACGGCUUACCAUGGCAAUGAUGGGUAGGGGUCCUGAGAGGGAGAUCCCCCACACUGGGACUGAGACACGGCCCAGACUCCUACGGGAGGCAGCAGUGAGGAAUAUUGGACAAUGGGCGCAAGCCUGAUCCAGCCAUGCCGCGUGCAGGAAGACGGUCCUAUGGAUUGUAAACUGCUUUAUACAGGAAGAAACACUCCCUCGUGAGGGAACUUGACGGUACUGUAUGAAUAAGCAUCGGCUAACUCCGUG
rnacentral:rRNA from 1 species